UUGCCCCAGGAUAUUUGCCUGCUGCAUAUUUCAUGCCCUUUCCGGUGUAUGCAUUCUGAAAAUGUCAUGUUCUCUUCUGUGUGAGCAUCUCUGCUGAUGAAGAUAGAAACACUGGCUAAGACGAAUGGAAAUAAAAGUUGUCUUCAUCGAGACCAUCUCCAGUUGAUUUAAUGAGUGCUGUACUGUGUGAGUUCUCCUCAGAGAGGAAGCCAAAUUGAAGUACUGCUGUUCAAUCUCGGACACCUUUCUGCAUCACAUCUCCAAAUGGGAUCCUCCUGCCUCUACUUACCCAACUUUAUGGAGAUAGAGACAGAGACCCACACUGGAGCACUGGACUGAGCUCCCAAGGUCCCAAUGAGGAGCAGAUGGAGGGAGAACACGAGCAAGGAUGUCAGGACCACGGGGGGGUGCACCCACCCACUGAGACAGUGGGGCUGAUCUAUUGGGAGCUCACCAAGGCCAGCUGGACUGUGACUGAAAAAGCAUGGGAUAAAACCGGACUCUCUGAUCAUGGCGAACAAUGAGGACUGAUGAGAAGCCAAGGUCAAUGGCAAGGGGUUUUGAUCCUACUUCAUGUUCCGGCUUGGUGGGAGCCUAGCC